GCAAGAAUACUCAUUGGGAAAUACUGGAAGACACAAGAAUUGCCUACCCGAGAAGAAUGGCAGAGGAAAGUGAUGGACUAUAUGGAACUGGCUGAGAUGACCGGCAGAAUUCGAGACCAGGAAGAAGGGUUGAUGGAAGAAGACUGGAAAAAAUUUAAAAUAUAUCUUCAGAAACAAUGCAAUAUAAAAGAAUGUUAGAAAAAGGUUGGAGAAGAAUAUUAGACCGUAUUGGCAGACAGGGUAUAAUGGAAUAAGUAAAUAUGAAGUGUAAAAUGAGGAUAGAGGAGAAUUCAAUAUUUUCGAAUGUUAAAAUAAGUAAAAGAAAAGAAGGUUAGAAGGAUUUGCUGGAGAUACGAUUUAAACUAGAAUACAAAGCAGGGAGGUGAGAGGAAGUCAUGGAAAUAAGUAAAUGGGAAAAUGGUUUGUAAUGGUCAAAUAUGUUUUUUGUUAUUUUCUUUUUUUUUACUGUGAUCCUCUGUUUUUCUUAUUCCUUUUAUUGUCUGUUUUUUA